GACGAACGCUGGCGGCGUGCUUAACACAUGCAAGUCGAACGGAAAGGCCCUGCUUUUGUGUGGUGCUCGAGUGGCGAACGGGUGAGUAACACGUGAGUAACCUGCCCUUGACUUUGGGAUAACUUCAGGAAACUGGGGCUAAUACCGGAUAGGAGCUCCUGCUGCAUGGUGGGGGUUGGACAGUUUCGGCCGUUGGGGAUGGACUCGCGGGUUAUUAGCUUGUUGGGUGGGUAGUGGCCUACCAAGGCUUUGACGGGUAGCCGGCCUGGGAGGGUGACCGGCGACCUUGGGCCUGCGAGACGGCCCAGACUCCUACGGGAGGCAGCAGUGGAGAAUAUUGCACAAUGGGCGGACGCGUGAUGCAGCAACGCCGCGUUCGGGAUGACGGCCUUCGGGUUGUAAACCGCUUCCGCCUGUGACGAAGCGUGAGUGACGGUAAUGGGUAAAGAAGCACCGGCUAACUACGUG
rnacentral:rRNA from 1 species